AUGCGCCGGAGCAGGUGGUCGGACCUCCCGGUGGAUCUGCUCCGCGAGAUCGCUGGCCGCCUGCACGUCGCCGUCGACUUCGUCCGCUUCCACGCCGUCUGCAAGCCAUGGCGCAGCUCACGCGACCUGCUGUCCCAGACAACGGCGACCCACCUGUUCCUGCCCUGGAUCCUCGCGCCGGUGGUGUCGGACUCCCCGCUCAAGCUCUGGUGCGUCUUCUCCAAGUCCGGCUACUGCGCGCCGCCGACAGUGCCUUCUAGGGACUGGGUGUGCAGCGCCGACGCCACCGCUCUUUGGCACCACCCCGUCACCAGCCAUCUUCGCCCCAGCUACUACACCUACCUGUCUCGUUCCCCGCUCAUCCGGUGGGAGGAGGGUCAUCCAAGUGGCAUCGUCUACGGCGACGGCACCACCUUUGUCUACAGCAUCUCCCGCGUCAAGUAUCUGCAUGACACCAUCACCAGGUUUAGUGCGGCUCUUUUGUGUCCCGGUGACACAGAGUGGACGCUCGUCCAGAGGACCCUUGAGACCCCCUGGCUCGGGUGGUCCGGCGAGUUUUGCGCCGCGUACCACGGCGGCAAGAUCCUCCUCACUGUCAAGCCUAAACUGUGGCAUGCCAUCACGCCCAACAGCAAUGUCGCCUGCGACGUGGUGGUCCCGAGGCUGUUGAUGCCAGACGAGCACGACAGCUACUCAGAGCUGUCUAACUACGUCCUCGAAUCCCGUGGCGAGCUUCUGUGGGUGUCGGUCCAGAUCUGGUCACGUUUCACUUAUAAGUUUGCGUUUGGCAGCGGCCGGUUUCGACAGUUCUCGGUGUCGGUGCAUGCACUAGAGGAGUCAUUGCUAGUGCCGAAGAGGAUCCAGUGGGUGAGGAAAGACAGCCAUAGCCUGGUUGAUCGUGUGUUCUUUCUAGGCUCACCCGUUAGUUUCGCGGUGGACGCCUCGCUGAUGGGCGGCCAUGGCGGGUGCGCCUACUUUGCAUCGACGAGGCCUGAUGAACAGUAUGGUGUGUUCAGGUAUAGCCUCAUCGACGGUAAGACCGAGUUGGUUGAGCAGCUGCCUCUGGGAUGGCACAACGAGAAGUGCACGUGGGUCGUCCCCCAGCCCACCAUUGCUCCAAUU
rnacentral:rRNA from 1 species